rnacentral:tRNA from 1 species
GCCGAACACCGCCGGGUCGUUCGUGCGGAGUUGGUCGUCCACGACGAUCGCUUUGUCGCAGGUGACGCCGCACUCGCGUGCGAGUUCCGAGUUCGGCC